rnacentral:rRNA from 1 species
CAAGGUCUCCGUUGGUGAACCAGCGGAGGGAWCAUUACCGAGUUUACAACUCCCAAACCCAAUGUGAACCAUACCAAACUGUUGCCUCGGCGGGGUCACGCCCCGGGUGCGUCGCAGCCCCGGAACCAGGCGCCCGCCGGAGGGACCAACCAAACUCUUUCUGUAGUCCCCUCGCGGACGUUAUUUCUUACAGCUCUGAGCAAAAAUUCAAAAUGAAUCAAAACUUUCAACAACGGAUCUCUUGGUUCUGGCAUCGAUGAAGAACGCAGCGAAAUGCGAUAAGUAAUGUGAAUUGCAGAAUUCAGUGAAUCAUCGAAUCUUUGAACGCACAUUGCGCCCGCCAGUAUUCUGGCGGGCAUGCCUGUCCGAGCGUCAUUUCAACCCUCGAACCCCUCCGGGGGGUCGGCGUUGGGGAUCGGGAACCCCUAAGACGGGAUCCCGGCCCCGAAAUACAGUGGCGGUCUCGCCGCAGCCUCUCCUGCGCAGUAGUUUGCACAACUCGCACCGGGAGCGCGGCGCGUCCACGUCCGUAAAACACCCAACUUCUGAAAUGUUGACCUCGGAUCAGGUAGGAAUACCCGCUGAACUUAAGCA